GAUGAACGCUGGCGGCGUGCCUAAUACAUGCAAGUCGAGCGAACGGACGAGAAGCUUGCUUCUCUGAUGUUAGCGGCGGACGGGUGAGUAACACGUGGAUAACCUACCUAUAAGACUGGGAUAACUUCGGGAAACCGGAGCUAAUACCGGAUAAUAUUUUGAACCGCAUGGUUCAAAAGUGAAAGACGGUCCUGCUGUCACUUAUAGAUGGAUCCGCGCUGCAUUAGCUAGUUGGUAAGGUAACGGCUUACCAAGGCAACGAUGCAUAGCCGACCUGAGAGGGUGAUCGGCCACACUGGAACUGAGACACGGUCCAGACUCCUACGGGAGGCAGCAGUAGGGAAUCUUCCGCAAUGGGCGAAAGCCUGACGGAGCAACGCCGCGUGAGUGAUAAAGGUCUUCGGAUCGUAAAACUCUGUUAUUAGGGAAGAACAUAUGUGUAAGUAACUGUGCACAUCUUGACGGUACCUAAUCAGAAAGCCACGGCUAACUACGUG
rnacentral:rRNA from 1 species